rnacentral:misc_RNA from 1 species
UUUCCCCUUUCCAUCUGCCAAUGAGCAGAAAAGUGGCUUCAACUCCAAAGCCACAUUAAUAUGAAUUUUUGCUAGUGUAGUGUACAGGUCAAAAAGAAAACCUCCAAAAGCACUUUAAAUCAUUAAAAAAGACAUUUUAGGCACUAAAAUCAACCACUUGGUCUAUAGAGGAGUUCCAUGUUAUUUCGUAGAUCAGUCAUUCAAUUUGUAAAGCUCAAAGGUUAUGAGUAAGAAGUGAAGGGGCCUCUUGAAAAUAGAUUGUAUAUAUUCAUUCCAGGCCAGGUUAAUUGCAAGACCAGAGACAAAGAUGACGGAAAUUGCAGGAACCGUGCUUUCUACAAUGAUAGGGCAACUGCUCCAAGUCAUCACUAAUGAAACUCAAUGUGCGCGUGACUUUAAAAGGGAGUUCGAUUCCAUGAAGGAGGGACUCGAAACUAUUAACAAGCUAAUUGGAGAGCAAGAUAAGGACAAUUGCCCGUCUACAAUCAAGGAAAGUUUGCCUAAUUUCAGAGAUUUGAUGUAUGAUGCAGAUGAUAUACUGACAGAUUGCGUAAUCAGACAAGAAUACAAGAGCAAAGGACUCCUGUCCAAAUUUUUGCCUUGGAAUUUCUUCUUCCAGCUUCGAACGUGCAAGAAAAUACAGGAUAUUAAUCAAAGGAUGAAGGACAAGUGUGAUCAUUUAGCCAAAAGAUUGGAGCUGACGCGCGGUCGCAGCUUCCUUACCAGGAAUGUCUCAGAGCAUUUUAGAUGGGAGCAGUAUUACACAUCUGAUGAAAUAAUUGGACUUGACAGUGAUGUAAUAAAGAUAAAAGAGUGGAUUCUACUUCGUCAAUACAAGCUUCAAAGGAUUGCAAUUGUAGGGAUGGGAGGCUUAGGAAAGACCACCAUCGCCAAGCUCAUUUCUGAUGAUGCUGAUGUAAGUGAACAUUUGAAGACGAAGAUUUCGGUGUCAGCUUCUCAAAAUCAUACAGUGGAAAAGUUCUUGAGUAGCAUCAUACAAGAAUUAGACAAGAAUUUGGUUAAAGAACCAGCAAAGAGUGGGUCUAAAUCUGAACAGAGUGGGUCUAAAGCUGACGACAUGUUAAACCGAAUUAUUUCAUGUUUGAAAGAAAGAAGCUGUCUCAUUAUUCUUGAUGACAUCUGGGACAAGAAUCUCGAGUUGUGUAAUAAAUUUUUCUCGCUUCUAUCAAAAUCAACUCUCAAACGAUGCUGUAUUAUUAUUACCACCAGAGACCAAGAUGUUGCGACUCCUGUUGGAGUUGACGAAUGGUUAGUUCAUAAGCCUAAAUUCCUCAAUGAAAACGACAGUUGGUCGUUGUUUUGCAAGCAUGCAUUUGCUAAGGUUAACAAAAAUUGUGUCCAACAAUUUGAAGAAGUGCGCGAGCAAUCUGUUCAACCAUUUGAAGAAGUGCGCGAGCAUUCUGUUCAACCAUUUGAAGAAAUGCGCAAGCAAUAUGUUCAACCAUUUGAAGAAGUGGGCAAGCAAAUCGUGGCCAAAUGUGGGGGACUUCCACUGGCAAUCAAGACAAUAGGAGGCUUACUAGGAUCAACCGGUUCUCUUCACAAAUGGAAUGAAAAUUGGAAAAGCUUUUGUCAACCCCACAUCAAAGGUGAAAAGUAUGAUAUCAUGGCUUCCCUGCAACUGAGCUACAAGGCACUCCCACUACAUCUACGGCAAUGCCUUUUAUGCUUCUCUAUUUACCCAGAAGACUGCGAGAUAGAAGCCGAAAAGUUAAUCCACUGGUGGGUUGGAGAGGGUCUCAUCCAAGGCAACGACUCGAUAACUGCAACGGAAUUGGGCUUUCAAUACCUUUCUAAAUUGAUCAGCAGAUGCCUGGUUGAAGUUGUGGAUACGCGAGGUUAUGAUGGAAGAGUCUACAGUUGCAAAAUGCAUGAUCUGGUGCGAGAUUUGACCCUUGCGAUGGCAGGAAAAGAGAAAGUUUGCAGCUUUGAUGAAGAAGGGCAAAAAUUGACCUCAGAUUCAAGAUGGUUGGGCUUCACAAGUGAAGUGGAUGCACAAUCCUUGAACAAAACUCCAAAGCUCAGGGCUUUGCUGCAGACAACUAACAAUCAAACUCAACUCCACAGUAAUUUGGGUUCACUCUGCUCACUCAGAGCACUUGACUUGUCUAGUAAUAAGCUAGACAACGUUGCUUUAAAGAAGCUCCUGCGUUGGAUUAGCUCCCUGGAACGCCUAGCUUAUCUAAAUCUAAGUGGAUCCAAGGGCCUAGAAGAAGUUCCUGAUUCUAUUAGAAAACUCCGAAACCUCCUGAUCUUGGUUUUAAGUGGAUGCACCAAGCUAUCCAAGCUAAGCUCUUCAAUCACUUCUCUGAAGAGGUUGAUUAUCUUGGACCUAAGCUCUUGUGACAAGCUUCCAUACCUGCCUCGCGGAUUGGGGAUGCUCUCCCAUCUUCGAGAGCUAUAUGGAUUGAGACUGGUAAGCCAGGCUAACAGACGCAGCUGUCCCCUUCUGGAAGUUGGAGCACUAAGUGAGUUAAGAGUACUGCACAUGCAUUUAAGUAGAGGGAGUGAAAUCAAACAAAAGGAAUGGGAUGUUCUGUCAAAGCUUAGGAAACUCAAGGUUCUAACCAUUGAUUUUGACGCUGAAAGAUCGGAAGGGAAAACAAUGCAAAGGAUGCUAGAUCCACUUGAACCUCCACAAGGACUUGAGGAGCUGUAUCUCAGGCGUUACCGUCAUGAUACUUUGCCGAAAUGGGUUAAUCCUCAGUUUCUUCGCAAAUUGGUAUAUCUUUGUAUUGAGGAUGGAGAUCUGUUUGAUAUCUGCGCAGGUGAAACCACUUGGAACCUUGAGGGUUUGCGUUUGAAUCUGUUGCCAUACUUGAAGAAGGACUGGAACAUAUUGAGGAAGGAGAUGCCUUGCUUACGCUAUGCAGAGGUUAGUGAUUGUUAUCAAAUAGACAAUUUCCGGAGAGCUGAUCAUCAGGAAUACAAGCCGAGGAUCUGGAGGCCAUAAUCAACACUCAUUAAUCAUCCAUGGAUUUGGUGCCGUUGCAUGAAAUGAAGUAACUGAAUGCUUAUGGAUUGUGAUGUUGUUACGUUUGCUUUAGAAGUGUUUAGAAUUCAGUUACAGUUGUAAUAUAUGAAUGUGAUUUUGUGCGUUGAAAUUGGAGGCAAGGUAUGCAAAUUAAGUAUCUUAAUAACUUGUUGAAAUCCAAUGGAAUGUGCCGCUUUUUUCAUAUAGUAAUCCAGUAAGGGAUUCUAUUCUUCUCUAUGGUUAGAAUCUUUGUUCCUGUAUCAGAAUGCUCUGCAUGCCAUGGUUGAACAUCUGCUUUGAAGAAUGGAUUGAACGAGGUAAUUGGUUUGCUGCUUCUAUAGCUAAAGGAGUUUAUAUAUAUAUAACUCUGAUAAAGAUUUAAAUUCAAGAAUUUAUUAUUCUACCAAUAAUUUUACUACUAUCGAACUAAAG